GGGGAUUUAGUUUAAUUUAAAAUUUUUGUUUUGCAUACAGAGGAUUGAAUCUCUA
rnacentral:tRNA from 1 species